rnacentral:rRNA from 1 species
UACGAAGGGGGCUAGCGUUGUUCGGAAUCACUGGGCGUAAAGCGCGCGUAGGCGGAUUGUUAAGUCAGGGGUGAAAUGCCGAGGCUCAACCUCGGAACUGCCUUUGAUACUGGCAAUCUUGAGUCCGGGAGAGGUGAGUGGAACUCCGAGUGUAGAGGUGAAAUUCGUAGAUAUUCGCAAGAACACCAGUGGCGAAGGCGGCUCACUGGCCCGGUACUGACGCUGAGGUGCGAAAGCGUGGGGAGCAAACAGG